AUUGAACGCUGGCGGCAGGCUUAACACAUGCAAGUCGAACGAGUGGCGGACGGGUGAGUAAUGCCUGGGAAACUGCCUGAUGGAGGGGGAUAACUACUGGAAACGGUAGCUAAUACCGCAUACCAUCAGAUGUGCCCAGCUGGGAUUAGCUUGUUGGUGGGGUAACGGCUCACUAAGGCGACGAUACCUAGCUGGUCUGAGAGGAUGACCAGCAACACUGGAACUGAGACACGGUCCAGACUCCUACGGGUGGAAGCAGUGGGGAAUAUUGCACAAUGGGCGCAGGCCUGAUGCAGCCAUGCCGCGUGUAUGAAGAAGGCCUUCGGGUUGUAAAGUACUUUCAGCGGGGAGGCGUUACCCGCAGAAGAAGCAACGGCUAACUCCGUGCCAGCAGCCGCGGUAAUUC
rnacentral:rRNA from 1 species